rnacentral:lncRNA from 1 species
UGUAAUCUCCGAAUGCCUUCUUUGAAGUCGCCGAAACUCUUGUUAAGGUUGUGGGCAGCCUCUUCAAAGCCCAUUGGGCAUGGUAUUCCACCAAUAGGGAUGAAGUUCCCCAUUCUUUGCCUUCAUCCGACCAUGCCUUGCUUUCAUCCCUUCCAAUUAGCCUCCUACUAGUUUAGAUUUUCAUCCUUAGGUUUCCACCUUCUCCCAAAGCUUCAUACUAAAUAUUUAGAUCUUAUAUAUAUAUUAAUGUCAAAAUCAAAAGAAGUAAAGAAACAAAGUAAAGUUUCUUAUAUCAACUC